CUGGCUGUUAGUUCUGUAAAAGGGUUGGAUCCGACGCCUCUAGAAGGCUACUAUAGGCUCUCCUUCUCAACUCCUACUCAAUACGUCCACGUCGUGCAGAACGGUAACUUGUUGCUCAGAUCCAAGCUUGGGUACACGGGGAAACCCAACCCCUCGGGCGGAUGAGCGGCAAGGCAGAAUUGAGAGGU
rnacentral:ribozyme from 1 species